rfam:Hordeum vulgare subsp. vulgare, WGS project CAJW01000000 data, contig: morex_contig_2449932
AUGAUACUCCCUUUGUCCCAAGAUAAGUGACUCAAAAGUGACUCUACUUUGUACUAAACUUAGUACAAAACUGAGUCAUAUUUGAGUCACUUAUUUUGGGACGGAGGGAGUAUUUU